rnacentral:rRNA from 1 species
AACGAACGCUGGCGGCAUGCCUAACACAUGCAAGUCGAACGAGACCUUCGGGUCUAGUGGCGCACGGGUGCGUAACGCGUGGGAACCUGCCUUUAGGUUCGGAAUAACUCAGAGAAAUUUGAGCUAAUACCGGAUGAUGUCUUCGGACCAAAGAUUUAUCGCCUUUAGAUGGGCCCGCGUUGGAUUAGCUAGUUGGUGGGGUAAAGGCCUACCAAGGCGACGAUCCAUAGCUGGUCUGAGAGGAUGAUCAGCCACACUGGGACUGAGACACGGCCCAGACACCUACGGGAGGCAGCAGUGGGGAAUAUUGGACAAUGGGCGAAAGCCUGAUCCAGCAAUGCCGCGUGAGUGAUGAAGGCCUUAGGGUUGUAAAGCUCUUUUACCCGAGAUGAUAAUGACAGUAUCGGGAGAAUAAGCUCCGGCUAACUCCGUG